rnacentral:rRNA from 1 species
UGACCUCGGAUCAGACGUGAUUACCCGCUGAAUUUAAGCAUAUUAUUAAAGCGGAGAAAAAGAAACUAACAAGGAUUCCCCUAGUAACGGCUGAGUGAACGGGGAAGAGCCAACACCGAAUCCCUUGGCGCAAAGUCAACGGGAAAUGUGGUGUUAAGGUAGCCCUUCGUGUCAGUCUAGGCGUCCUCAAGUCCACUGAUUGUGGCUCAAGCCCAGAGAGGGUUUAAGGCCCGUAGAGACGCUCCGACUUGAUUCCUGGGUUUACCUACGAGUCGGCUUGUUUGGGAAUGCAGGCCAAAGCGGGUGGUAAACUCCAUCCAAGCUAAUACUGGCACGAGUCCGAAUAUAGCGGGAAUAGUACCGUGAGGGAAGUUGAAAAUAAACUUUGAAGAGAGAGUUCAAUAGUACGUGAAACGCUUAAGAGGCAAACGGAUGGGCUCAUACUGGCCUGAGGAAUUCAACUGUGACGGUGCUGGACGAGCUGGCGUUCUCGAUCUCUAUUUUGGGCGGGCGUCGGUUUGGCUAUCAGCUCCGACAUGGUUGCACUUUCCUUGGAUGCCUCCGCCAGACGACGACACUGGCUACCCGCGGCUGGGGUAAGGUGACAAACUGCUUCGGCAAUUGCCUUUGUUAUAGACCCCCGGCGUCGGACAUGGUUUGGCCAGGACGUCGAGCUUGCGGCGGCCCCGUCCUUGUGUGGCUCGAUGUUUUGGCUAGCUUGGCUGCGGCCGAUGCUUGCUUGGACACACCGAAACGCGAACCACAGUAAGGUGACGGUUGUAUGGUCUUGUCUCUAGUUGGCCUCUGCGAGUUUGGCGCCUAUAGUCUGUGGUGUUACUUGUGGGUUUAGACUAUCGACCCGUCUUGAAACACGGACAAGGAGUCUAACAUGUGCGCGAGUCAUGGGGUUCUACGAAACCAAAGGCUAAAAAACAGUGAAAGUAAAGGCCUGCUUCUCGUAGGCUGAGGUGGGAUCUCGUGCAUCGCGAUUGUGCGAGCCUACCACCGGCCGUCCUAUCUGUCUCUGUCAGUGGGCGUGGCGCAAGAGCGUACACGUUGGGACCGAAGAUGGUUGUAUAACUAUGCUUGCGCGCUCGAAGUCAGUGGAAACAUGAUGUGAGUAGAGCGCAGCGUUUCUGACGUGCAAAUCGAUCGUUAAACGUGAGUAUAGAGGGCGAAAGACUAAAUGAACAUCUAGUAGCUGGUUCCAUCGAAGAUUUCCUCAGGAUAGCUGGCACUCGGGAAACAGUUUUAUCCGGUAUAAAGCGAAUGAUUAGAGGCAUUGGGGUCGAAAACGACCUCGACCUAUUCUCAAACUUUAAAUGGUAAGAUGCUCGUCUCGCUUAAUUGGAGGCGGGCUUUCCUCUCUAUAAACGUUGAAUGUGAGUGCCCAGUGGGCCAUUUUUGUGUAAGCAGAACUGGCGCUGUGGGAUGAACCAAACGCGCGGUUAAGGCGCCCAAUGCGGACGCUCAUGAGACACCACAAAGGUGUUGGUCGAAUACUGACAGCAGGACGGUGCCAUGGAAGUCGAACCCGCUAAGGAGUGUGUAACAACUCACCUGCCGAAUCAAACAGCCCUGAAAAUGAUGGCGCUGGAGGUCGGGCCUAUACCGUGCCGUUGCGGGCGAAGCAGACAAAUAAUCUGUGUGGAUGUCCCAACGAGUAGGAGGGUCGCCGUGGUGAGCGCAGAAGGUGCGGCGUGAGGCCGGCUGGAGCCGCCACGGGCGCAGAUCUUGUGGGUGAGUAGCAAUUAGAAGUGAGAACUUGAGGACUGAAGUGGAGAAGGGUUACAUGUGAACAGCAGUUUGAACAUGGGUCAGGCGGUCCUAAGCGAUCGGGUAACUCCGUACUAGACGAGGGGGGAUUGACAACUAUCACUUGAUAAUACUGUAACGUGUAUAUAGCGCCUCCGGAGCGAAAGGAAUCGUGUUAAUAUUCACGACCCUUUACCGUGGAGAUCGCCCCUUUCGGGGGGCAAGUGCGGUAACGCAAACGAACACAGAAGACGUCGGCUGGAGCCCCGGGAAGAGUUCUCUUUUUUGUAAGGAGCGUUACCCCCUUGGAAUCGGGAUUGUCCGGAGAUAGUCGGGCGUGGCUUCCGUAAGCAGCGCGGGUCUUGCGCUGUCGGUGCACUCUAGUCGGCCUUGAAAAUCUGUUGGGAGACAGUUGUGAUUUUCACGGUAGGCCGUCCCAUAUACCGCAGCAGGUCUCCAAGGUGAACAGCCUCUAGUCCUAAGAACAAUGUAGGUAAGGGAAGUCGGCAAAAUGGAUCCGUAACUUCCCGGGAAAGGAUUGGCUCUGAGGGCUGGGUCGGAUGGAUGCGCGUAAGAAGCUGUUCGGUUUUUGGUGAGGACUGGGCGAGGCUUUCGGGCUUUACUCGGACCAUGCCGAGAACCAGGCAGUAGACGAUGGCGUCAGUGUGCUUGUCGUGUUUCGGCGCGGCAGCUUUCCGGCAACAAACAGCCAACUCAGAACUGGCACGGACUAGGGGAAUCCGACUGUCUAAUUAAAAAAAGCAUUGCGAUGGCUGUUGCUCAAGGUGUUGACGCAAUGUGAUUUUCUGCCCAGUGCUCUCUGAAUGUCAGAAGUGAAGAAAUUCAAUCAAAGACGGGGAGUAAACGCGGGGAGUAACUAUGACUCUCUUAGUUAGUCAGAAUGCCUCGUCAUCUAAUAGUGACGCGCGAUGAAUGGAUUAAACGAGAUUCCCAAUGUCAUAUCUACUAUCUAGCUAAACCACAUGUCAGGUAACGGGAUUGGAAAUCAGCGCUGGAAAGAAGGACACUGUUGAGCUUGACUAUAGUCCGACUUUGUGAAGGACAUGAGAGGUGUUGUGAUGAGUGUGGAGCUGUUCAGUCGAAUUUGAAAUACCACUAUUUUAUCUUUCUUUAUACUUAUUUCAGUGAAAGCGGCGCGAGCUUCACGCCUUAACACUCGUUUCUGGUGUUAAAGGUCUGGAACUUCGCGGCCAGGCCGUGACCUCUCUGAGACAGUGUAGUCGGUGAGAUUUGGAUGUGGCGGGGGGCACGCGUUUAAUCUUGUCAAAAGGUAAUGCAGUGUCCCAAGAUGAGCUCAGUCAGGACAGAAACCGGCUGUAUGAGCAAAAGGGCAAAAGCUCAUUUGAUUUUGAUUUUCAGUACGAAUUACAGACCGGUAAAGCGCGCCGGACUAUUCGAUCCCUUUGAAUUAAUCAAGAGUUUUAUUGCCAAGGGGUGCAUCAGAAGUUACACAGGGAUAACUGGCUUGUGGCGGCACAAGCGUUCAUAGCGAAGUCGGCUUUUGAUCUUCGAUGUCGGCUCUUCCAUCAUUGUGAAGCAUAUUACCAAGAGUAUGGAUUGUUCACCCCACCAUAUGGGGAACGUAGAGAUGGGUUUAGACGUCGCUUUGAGACAGGUUUAGUUUUACCCUAUCUGAUUCUUUGUCGUUGCUAUGGUAAUCCUAUUAGUACGAGGGAACCGCAUGGUUCAGACAUUUGGUUUAUGUGCUUUGAUCUGAAAGACCAAUGGUGCGAGCUACCAUCUGAGGGAUUAAAGACUGAAAGCCUCUUAAGUUGAAUCCGCGCCAGAAAUGGCAACGAAUACUAUCGGCAUGCCCCUACGCGGGAGGACAACGAUAUUACUCGGGCCGAAAUCCGAUUUCGCGGCCGAGACUGGCUAAAAGCACUGCGAUACUGGCCACACCCAGCUGUCUUGAAAUUGGCAAGUGGAGGACAGACAAGAUACCACUUGAUUGAGCGUAGGGUUCUCUAUGUUUGUAGACGAACUUGAAAUUCAACGGUCGGGUGAUGCCGUAUUAGUUUGAGCAGUUCUUCACUACGACCUAUUGAGGCUAAGCCUUUUGACGGGGGAUAUGUC